UUGAACGCUGGCGGAAUGCUUUACACAUGCAAGUCGAGCGGCAGCGCGGGGCAACCUGGCGGCGAGCGGCGAACGGGUGAGUAAUGCAUCGGAACAUGUCCAUGUCGUGGGGGAUAGCCCGGCGAAAGCCGGAUUAAUACCGCAUACGCCCGAGAGGGGAAAGCAGGGGACCGCAAGGCCUUGCGCGAUUGGGUUGGCCGAUGUCCGAUUAGCUUGUUGGUGAGGUAAAGGCUUACCAAGGCGAUGAUCGGUAGCUGGUCUGAGAGGAUGAUCAGCCACACUGGGACUGAGACACGGCCCAGACUCCUACGGGAGGCAGCAGUGGGGAAUUUUGGACAAUGGGGGCAACCCUGAUCCAGCCAUUCCGCGUGAGUGAAGAAGGCCUUCGGGUUGUAAAGCUCUUUUGUCCGGAGCGAAACGGUACGGGUGAAUAUCCCGUGCUACUGACGGUACCGGAAGAAUAAGCACCGGCUAACUACGU
rnacentral:rRNA from 1 species